rnacentral:sRNA from 1 species
UCAUACUCUGAGACUUGACCUCGCCGAU